CAGUAGGGAAUCUUCGGCAAUGGACGAAAGUCUGACCGAGCAACGCCGCGUGAGUGAAGAAGGUUUUCGGAUCGUAAAACUCUGUUGGUAGAGAAGAACGUUGGUGAGAGUGGAAAGCUCAUCAAGUGACGGUAACUACCCAGAAAGGGACGGCUAACUACGUGCCAGCGGCCGCGGUAAUACGUAGGUCCCGAGCGUUGUCCGGAUUUAUUGGGCGUAAAGCGAGCGCAGGUGGUUUAUUAAGUCUGGUGUAAAAGGCAGUGGCUCAACCAUUGUAUGCAUUGGAAACUGGUAGACUUGAGUGCAGGAGAGGAGAGUGGAAUUCCAUGUGUAGCGGUGAAAUGCGUAGAUAUAUGGAGGAACACCGGUGGCGAAAGCGGCUCUCUGGCCUGUAACUGACACUGAGGCUCGAAAGCGUGGGGAGCAAACAGGAUUAGAUACCCUGGUAGUCCACGCCGUAAACGAUGAGUGCUAGAUGUAGGGAGCUAUAAGUUCUCUGUAUCGCAGCUAACGCAAUAAGCACUCCGCCUGGGGAGUACGACCGCAAGGUUGAAACUCAAAGGAAUUGACGGGGGCCCGCACAAG
rnacentral:rRNA from 1 species